rnacentral:rRNA from 1 species
GUGUCAGCAGCCGCGGUAAUACGAAGGGGGCUAGCGUUGUUCGGAAUCACUGGGCGUAAAGCGCAUGCAGGCGGAUUGUUAAGUCGGGGGUGAAAUCCCGAGGCUCAACCUCGGAACUGCCUUCGAUACUGGCAAUCUUGAGUCCGGGAGAGGUGAGUGGAACUGCGAGUGUAGAGGUGAAAUUCGUAGAUAUUCGCAAGAACACCAGUGGCGAAGGCGGCUCACUGGCCCGGUACUGACGCUGAGGUGCGAAAGCGUGGGGAGCAAACAGGAUUAGAUACCCUCGUAGUCC